rnacentral:lncRNA from 1 species
GGUUGAGCGUCCAUGUGUGGCUACUGGGUUUGCUGGGGACACCUCUUGCCUGCCAGGGUGAGCACACGCAGCAGUGAGCAGCCCCGUGUGACCCCACGGGAUGAGGAUGCCAUGAUGUCAGCAUCCCUUCUGACUUGGAGUUCUGGAGAUUUGGAAGUCCAAGAUCAAGGUGCUGCCGGAUUUGGUUCUUGUCUGGGUUCAUAGAAGAUUGUCCUCACCAUAGGCAUGGGCAAAGACUUCAUGACAAAAACACAAAAAGCAAUUGCAACAAAAGCCAAAAUUGACAAAUGGGAUCUAAUUAAACUAAAGAGCUUCUGCACAGCAAAAGAAACUCUCAUUGGAGUAAACAGGCAACCUACAGAAUGGGAGAAAAUUUUUGCCAUCUAUCUAUCUGACAAAGGGCUAAUAUCCAGAAUCUACAAAGAACUUCAACAAAUUUACAAGAAAAAAACAAACAACCCCAUCAAAAAGUGGGUGAAGGAUAUGAACAGACACUUCCUAAAAGAAGACAUUUAUGUGGCCAAUAAACAUAUGAAAAAAAGCUCAUCACCAUUGAUCAUUAGAGAAAUGCAAAUCAAAACCACAAUGAGAUACCAUCUCAUGCCAGUUAGAAUAGUGAUGAUUAAAAAGUCAAGAAACAACAGCUGCUUUAGAGGAUGUGGAUAAACAGGAACACUUUUACACUGUUGGUGGGAGUGUAAAUUAGUUCAACCAUUGUGGAAGACAGUAUGGCAAUUCCUCAAGGAUCUAGAACCAGAAAUACCAUUUGACCCAGCAAUCCCAUUAUACCCAAAGGAUUAUAAAUCAUUCUGCUAUAAAGACACAUGCAAAUGUAUGUUUAUUGCAGCACUGUUCACAAUAGCAAAGACUUGGAACCAACCCAAAUGCCCAUCAAUGAUAGACUAGAUAAAGAAAAUGUGGCACAUAUAUACCAUCGAAUACUAUGCAGCCAUAAAAAAGGAUGAGUUCAUGUUGUUUGCAGGGACAUGGAUGAAGCUGGAAACCGUCAUUCUCAGCAAACUAACACAAGAACAGAAAACUAAACACUGCAUGUUCUCACUCAUAAGUGGGAGUUGAACAAUGAGAACACAUGGACAUAGGGACAUAGGGAGGGGAACAUCACACACUGGGGCCUGUCAGGGGGUGAGGGGCUAGGGGAGGGAUAGCAUUAGAAGAAACACCUAAUGUAGAUGAUGGGUGGAUGGGCGCAACAAACCACCAUGGUGUGUGUAUACCUAUGUAACAAACCUGCACAUU